GAGGAUAUAGCUCAAUGGUAGAGUGUGUGCCUAGCAUGCACGAGACCCUGGGUUCAAUCCCCACUGCCUCCA
rfam:Camelus ferus unplaced genomic scaffold scaffold877, whole genome shotgun sequence.